GAGAAAUAUAGCUAGCAAUCUCUCCAUUGGUAACCGGGUAGACACGAUGGCUAAACGAAGCGCAUACAUAACGUUAAAAGAUCACAAAGAAAACUUUGAAUCUAACCCGAAGUUCCGUCUUAUUAAUCCUGCCAAGAGCGAACUUGGAAAAGUCAGCAAAAUUAUCUUGGACGACAUAAAUGCUAGAAUAAACUCUACAAUAAAAGUUAACCAGUGGC